UACGGAGGGUGCAAGCGUUGUCCGGAUUUAUUGGGUUUAAAGGGUGCGUAGGCGGUCUUUUAAGUCAGUGGUGAAAGCCUCCAGCUCAACUGGAGAAAUGCCAUUGAUACUGGAGACUUGAGUAUAGUUGAGGUAGGCGGAAUUGACAGUGUAGCGGUGAAAUGCAUAGAUAUUGUCAAGAACACCGAUUGCGAAGGCAGCUUACUAAACUAUAAACUGACGCUGAGGCACGAAAGUGCGGGGGAUCAAACAGG
rnacentral:rRNA from 1 species